AGCAGCCGCCGCGGUAAUACGGAGGAUCCAAGCGUUAUCCGGAAUCAUUGGGUUUAAAGGGUCCGUAGGCGGUCUUGUAAGUCAGUGGUGAAAGCCCAUCGCUCAACGGUGGAACGGCCAUUGAUACUGCAGGACUUGAAUUAUUGGGAAGUAACUAGAAUAUGUAGUGUAGCGGUGAAAUGCUUAGAGAUUACAUGGAAUACCAAUUGCGAAGGCAGGUUACUACCAAUUGAUUGACGCUGAUGGACGAAAGCGUGGGUAGCGAACAGGAUUAGAUACCCCCGUAGUCCCUGUCUCUUAUAA
rnacentral:rRNA from 1 species